rnacentral:rRNA from 1 species
GACAGAGGGGGCAAGCGUUGCUCGGAAUCACUGGGCGUAAAGCGCGUGUAGGCGGUUGUCCAAGUUGGAUGUGAAAGCCUUGAGCUCAACUCAAGAAAUGCAUUCAGGACUGGGCGACUAGAGGACCGGAGAGGAUAGUGGAAUUCCCAGUGUAGUGGUGAAAUACGUAGAGAUUGGGAAGAACACCAGUGGCGAAGGCGGCUAUCUGGACGGUUUCUGACGCUAAGACGCGAAAGCGUGGGGAGCAAACAGG